rnacentral:rRNA from 1 species
AGUGAACGCUGGCGGUAGGCCUAACACAUGCAAGUCGAACGGCAGCACAGUAAGAGCUUGCUCUUACGGGUGGCGAGUGGCGGACGGGUGAGGAAUACAUCGGAAUCUACUUUUUCGUGGGGGAUAACGUAGGGAAACUUACGCUAAUACCGCAUACGACCUACGUGUGAAAGCAGGGGAUCUUCGGACCUUGCGCGAUUGAAUGAGCCGAUGUCGGAUUAGCUAGUUGGCGGGGUAAAGGCCCACCAAGGCGACGAUCCGUAGCUGGUCUGAGAGGAUGAUCAGCAACACUGGAACUGAGACACGGUCCAGACUCCUACGGGAGGAAGCAGUGGGGAAUAUUGGACAAUGGGCGCAAGCCUGAUCCAGCCAUACCGCGUGGGUGAAGAAGGCCUUCGGGUUGUAAAGCCCUUUUGUUGGGAAAGAAAAGCAGCAGGUUAAUACCCCGCUGUUCUGACGGUACCCAAAGAAUAAGCACCGGCUAACUUCGUG